AGGAUGGGGGACUGGCACAUGUGAAGGCUGAGGAAUCAUCUACGACAGAGCAUGACAGACUCUAGCCCAUGCAGACGGCAGAGGCAGGUGAGCACACUGGGUUGGAAGCAGCUGAACAGCUGUGCAGAGUGACCCCCAGCCCCACCUUCAUGAAGCUGACAUCUUCUGUCUUAUCGAAGAGAAGCUGCAGGGAGCCCAGCAACUUCUUGGCCUCCUGCAUGCGUUCCCCAAGGUGCAGCGCCUGCGCCGCGUUCUCGCUGCAGAACUUGGCUUGCGCCUUGUCCAGGACCUCUACUGUUUGCCGCAAGUCCUCAUCCAGCAGCUGGUGAAGCUUUUCAUACUGCAGCCGCACCUCUUCCUUCAGCUGGCUCACUUUCUCCUGAAGAGAGAGACGAGGAUGGGCAGGCACAUGAGCACGGAGUGACCUCAGGCUGAUGGCACUAUCCCAACCCCAUUGCUAAUGCUGGGGUCUGGGACCCUGAGCCCCCUGGCUUCUGAGGGUAACGUGUGACCUGCCAAUUCCCCAUGCAUAGCACUGGGCUCUGUGCCAGCCACUCCUAAAAUCAGUGGGAUUCCUAUUCAGUUCACCUAAGAGCCGGCACCCCAUUACCCCCCAGGGGCUCAGGGGUCGCUACCUCCACCAGGCGCUUGUCUGACUCAAGCUUGUAGAGCUGGUCCUCGAUGUCCUGCUCUCGCUCCUCCAGCCGCUCCUGCUGCUUCAUCAGCAUCUUCUGCAGGGACAGUCGAGCAACACAGCCACCCCUUCCUUGUUCCCGAGGCUGAGCACGGGCCUCAGGACUCAAGUCCUUGCUCGUUGUGUCCGUCAGUGAGACCAGGAGAGAGAGACCCUGCUGCUCCCAAGAGUGAUCUGCUGCCAGGCCAAGCUGUUUUUCCAAGCUCUUUCCUUAAAAAUGUAAUUCAUUAAUUGUAUUUAUUUUGUGUAUGAGUGUUUUGCUUGCAUGUAUCUGUAGUGGGUGGCUGUUUGAGCCGUGCCCUGAAGCUCCGCCCUUAGUGAGGUAGCAGGUAGCUGUUACACCUGCCUAUGACCUUGAAGUACAUGCCCCUGGGAGGACCCUAAGACCUGGAAUGUGCUCUCUCUUCGCUAUCUUGUGGUGUUGGAUGCUGGAAUGGACCAGGGCUGAACUCGCCAGAGAACAGCAUUGGACUGUGCCUCACCCUUCCAAGAUCCUGUGACAGAUUCCUUCAUUGUGUCUUCCCUCUCUUCCCCCACCACCAAACACACCUCUUCAAACAAGGUCUCUCUUGCUCAAGAUGACUGCCAACUUUAAAUAUUUCAGCAUGGCCAAGAAUCAUCUUUUACACAUGACUUCCAGCCUCUCGAGUGUAAGCUAAGUACAAGGCAUUCCCAGGAAGCACCCCUCUUCUGGGAUCCUCGCGCCCUGCCCUCAGCUUCAGGAUUCUACGAUCCCCAGCAGGGCGAUGUUGGGUCCAGCCAUGACCUAGUGAAAACAGUAGCCCCAACAGCCAAUCCCGGACAGAGAACUGGACGGCCAGCGGUCCUUUUUCAGCCUUCCCCUGCACUUCCCCAGCCUCCGCCCCUACCAUCUUUAUUAAUAGCAGCAGCAGCAGCUUCAAUACUGGGUAAAGUGUGGGCUAUGCUUGCCCCGAGCUGGAGGAGGAGGACCACAGGGCUCCUCCACUUCCCCAGCCCUUGGCCUUUUCCAACACGAGUGGGGAGGAGUGACUCUUCUUCUCCAUCCCCCACACUUCCUUUAAGAAACCAGAGGCCCUCUCCUGGCACGAAACCCCAGAGCUGGCCCAUGCAAUUGCAAACUAAUUAUACAGCAAAUUUUGUUAUCCCCGCCCUCAGCCUGCGGUGGCCCCUCUGCCUUUUGUUGGUUGUAUAUGUAUGGUUUUUAAUUGCUAAACAGUGACUCAUUUAGAUUCUAAGUCCCCUCCUCCCUACCACCAAGCAAACAGCCCCCAUCUACAUUCUGGACAGGCCCAGCUUCCUCAUACUGCAGAGGCCCCACUGGCCUCCAGGGGCCCCCACCCUAAACACACACUCCGAGUCCUACCAAACCUAACCUUGCUCUCUUAUCACAAGACCCCCUAGCCCGAGCUUUCAAGAUGGCUCAGAUGGCUUAGAUCAACUCCUUCCUUCUGUGUGACUCAACCCCAAGAGGCAAGGGACCCGAAAGGAACCUGGGAGGAGCCCCCUUCCAGUGAAAGGGACGGAAGUAUGCCCUAGUCCAGUUCCCUAGCCAGGCCCAGAGGCCUAAGAGGGGGAAGGCGGUUUUGACAUUGGCUGCUGCAGCAGGGUGUAUACAAUGGGAGGGGGUGCGGUUCCGUAAUCACCCAGCCGGCAGCCCAGGGGAGCCAGCUGCCUGAAACCAGAUUUCAAGGCGGCUCAACCUUAAACCCACAGGAUUCUUUUUCCGUCUUCCACCUCCCCUCCCCAAAUGUGGGAGGGCUGUGUAAGAGGGCAGGGCUGGGAGGAAAGGGUUAGACACAUACUUUAAGGUUUG